UCUAGAGUUCUUUCAAGGUUGC
rnacentral:siRNA from 1 species